rnacentral:rRNA from 1 species
UGCGGAGGGUGAGAGCGUUGUCCGGAAUCAUUGGGCGUAAAGGGCGCGUAGGUGGCCUGCUAAGCGUGCGGUGAAAGCUCGGGGCUCAACCCCGAGUCGGCCGUGCGAACUGGUGGGCUUGAGCACUGUAGAGGCAGGCGGAAUUCCGGGUGUAGCGGUGGAAUGCGUAGAGAUCCGGAAGAACACCGGUGGCGAAGGCGGCCUGCUGGGCAGUAGCUGACACUGAGGCGCGACAGCGUGGGGAGCAAACAGG